ACAAACCCUAACCCUAACGUUAAAAUCCUUUCCCCCAUCCAUCUCCCACCUCCCAAACCCCAUGGCACCCCUUCUCCUCCUCUUUCUCCCAACCAUCUCCUCCGCUUUGUCCACUCCCCAGUCCCAAUCGAACUAAGAUGAGGCGUUCAUCUCCGCAAUCAUCUCUCCACUGAGCCGAGCCACUGUUGCAGCGGAGUUGAAGGCCAACGACUCCUCGGUGCCCUUCGAGAUGUCCAUUACUAGAUUCGUGGCUAACUACUGCCAUGACUGAAUUCAUGCUGCAUUGGUUAAAGAACUGAAUAAUGUGAACAAAGGUCUAGGAGGGACAAGUGAGGUUGAUAUAAAGAAACAGUGGGAGAGAGCAUUCAUUGAUUGCUUUCAAAGAGUUGAUGACGAUGUGGGAGGGAAAUCGAUUCACGAGGGGCUUUCGGAACCGUUAGCCCCGGAUACUAUGGGCUCAAUGGCUGUUGUUGCCGUUGUGUGUUCUUCACACAUCAUAGUUGCAAACUGUGGCGAUUCGAGGGUAGUGCUUUGUCGUGGCAAACAGUGGUGCCUCUAUCGUCGUCGGAUCAUAAAGUAUGACAUGUCUUACAAUAUUUAAAUAAGAUUUUUUUAAAAGAAAAUAGAGAAUUUAUUUCCUAUUUUAUGCUUCAGCCUAAUAGAGAGGACGAACAAGUGAGGAUUGAAGCCGAAGGCGGCAUAGUCAUAAAUUGGCAAGGCUUCUGUGUGUCUGGUAUUCUUGCAAUGCCUCGUUCAAUCUAUAUGUACUUCUUUUUAUGAAGUUAAACUGUUUCAAUGAAGUAUUAGUAUUUAAUCA